GAUUAAAAUAGUUUUGUGUAAGCCUUUAGGUUGACCCUAUUGGAAGAAAAACAAUUCAUUUUCGUUCUCUUGGUUUUUGGCUCUUUCUCUUGUAAUUUUGGUCUCUCUAAUCCUCUCAUUUCUGUAAAUAAGAUCUGUGGUUAUAGAUUCUAUGUUGGAAAUCAGAUCUUGGUCUUGAUUUUUGGCCUUCAGUCUGGUGUGAAUGUGGCUGUAGUGUUGGUAGGGUAUGGUGUUUAUUUUCAGGCAAUCUUUUUAGGGCUUUUUGUUCUUUGGGUCGAUAAGGUGUAAUUUUGGUGAGAUCUUUAUAGAUCGAUGAUCGGUUGUUAGUCGUGUGUGGACUGAUUGCUAUACCCAAACUUUUACUCUCUCUUGGGAGGUUCUUGCAUAUAAUCAUAUACUUUGGCUCAUAUUUAUGCGGAUGUAGCUCAGAUCGUUGAGGAUUCCACUUCCGUAGGUUUUGUAAAAGUUGAAUGAGAGGGAGACUCAAAGCAAAGAAAUAAUUUUUCCCGAUGUAAAUCUUUUUUUUUGAUGGAUCUGAGUUGUGCCCUUUCAAUAUAGGUGUUUGCCUACAGGCUCGUCAACCUAUCUACUUGAUAUCUGAGGCCUCUGCUACUUUUGAGUCAAUUAAAGCUUCGGACUUAAUCUGUCAAUGUUAUAGUAUGCUUCUCUUCUCUCAUUUUCAGGUAGAGAAAGAUUUGUGUGCAUCAUGUUGUUAUUCACUGCUGCUGAUUCAUUGAUUCUUGCCCAUAGGUUGAUAGUUAGCAAAAGAUGUGGUAGUUCUUGAGGGAUGUUGAACGGGUUCGUCAUUUUUUCGGUGAGCCUAUAUGUUCCUGAUUACGCAACUUCGACUAUUACAUAUGAGCUACAACACCAUGGGGACAGAACCAAUACCCGCGUAACUCCUUCUCGGCGAUCCGACAGGAGGAUCGACACCCGAAAGUGUGCAAAGUGGGAUCCCCAAGAACACCACAUUUUCAUCUCCGUGGCAGAGCACGUAACUGCCAAAGGACAUCGUCGUGGUAAAUGCUUUACAACUGCCAGAUGGGAGCGCAUCCGAGAAUUGUUCAAUAAACGUGCUAGGAAGGAUUGGACAAUCACUCAACUGAAGAACCACUGGGGCAUUACGAACAGAUCACAACCUCCUGCUAGAGUUGCUUCGAUGUUCAGGGAUUCACUACAGGCUGAACUCAAGGGGCAGAAUCGAAGCAGAUGAUUGGUGGUGGGAGCAGAAAAUAAAGGAGAAUCCAAAGUACGGGAAGUUCCGCUACAACGACAACAGUGAAAUUUUCCACACAUAUGGAAAACUGUUUGGUGCCACUCUAGACUCUACGAAGUACGCAUUAACGCCGACGAAACUCUCACAACACGAUCUCGAUGUGAGCUCAAACUGUGAUGCACAAGCAGAUUUCAAUGACAUGCUGUCGAUCAAUGCAAAGACUACGGACUCAAGUGAUGGGCCGGCGAAGGGCAGAUUGAACUCUUUGAUGGACAUUUUCGUUGGCCGAAGUGGUGAGAAGAGUAAAGGGAAGUAGGCGCAGGGGACGGGGAAGAAGAAGGAGUUCAGAGCGAGGGAGUUUUCCGAAUCUGUGGACAAUUUGGCCAGUGCGUCAUGGGAGUUUACAUCUAUCCUUUGCUCCCAAGACAAAGGUGUAAUGACAAUAGCAAAAUGCUUGAAUGAUUUGCUGAAUGAUUUGCUAUCUACCGCCCUCGUCAAAAGUGGGGACGAGCUUCAUUUGUUCGCUUUGUGGUUCUUUCAUGACUUCACCAACCAUGCAGCAUAUGCUGCUGCUAAAAUGUCGAAGCUUCGUUUUGCAUGGAUUUAGUACUAUUUCAAACGCGACAAGGAGUCGAAGGAAGUAAAGUCUUCAAGGAGUUGGCCCAGACUGUAGUUGACUGUUGCUUGUGUAUGUGUGAGUUUAUUAUGUAGGUCCAAUUGUUUGUAUUCGUAUAUGUUACCAAUAAUUUUGGGUAUUUCCUACCAUCAUAUGUCGUGUGUCCAGACUUGGAGACAUGUUGUUCCUACUUUGUAAUAAUUAUAGUUUACAAAGUAGGGUCACUGCAUGAACUUCUUUUAUGUAUUAUCUAUGAAAGCAUGCAUGAGGAAUAUAUUCCCUGUACCAUGUAGAGAAUAUAUUCCUCUUUUGAAAUUGGCCA